UACAGAGGUCUCAAGCGUUGUUCGGAUUCAUUGGGCGUAAAGGGUGCGUAGGUGGUGCCGUAAGUCGGGUGUGAAAUCUCGGGGCUCAACCCCGAAACUGCACUUGAUACUGCGGUGCUCGAGGACUGGAGAGGAGAUCGGAAUUCAUGGUGUAGCAGUGAAAUGCGCAGAUAUCAGGAGGAACACCAAUGGCGAAGGCAGCACUCUGGGACGUGACUGACGCUGAGACGCGAAAGCGUGGGGAGCAAACAGG
rnacentral:rRNA from 1 species